GUAGGUGGCAAGCGUUGUCCGGAAUUAUUGGGCGUAAAGCGCGCGCAGGCGGUUCUUUAAGUCUGAUGUGAAAGCCCACGGCUCAACCGUGGAGAGUCAUUGGAAACUGGAGAACUUGAGUACAGAAGAGGAAAGCGGAAUUCCACGUGUAGCGGUGAAAUGCGUAGAGAUGUGGAGGAACACCAGUGGCGAAGGCGGCUUUCUGGUCUGUAACUGACGCUGAGGCGCGAAAGCGUGGGGGAGCAAACAGGAUUAGAUACCCUGGUAGUCCACGCCGUAAACGAUGAGUGCUAAGUGUUAGGGGGUUUCCGCCCCGUUAGUGCUGCAGCUAACGCAUUAAGCACCCCCGCCUGGGAGUACGGCCGCAAGGCUG
rnacentral:rRNA from 1 species